rnacentral:rRNA from 1 species
AUAAGCAUAUCAAUAAGCGGAGGAAAAGAAACCAACAGGGAUUGCCCCAGUAACGGCGAGUGAAGCGGCAGGAGCUCAAAUUUGAAAUCUGACCUCCUCCGGGGGUCCGAGUUGUAAUUUGCAGAGGAUGCUUCGGGUGCGGCCCCCGUCUAAGUUCCUUGGAACAGGACGUCAGAGAGGGUGAGAAUCCCGUCUUGGGCGGGCGGCCCGCGCCCGUGUGAAGAUCCUUCGACGAGUCGAGUUGUUUGGGAAUGCAGCUCUAAGCGGGUGGUAAAUUUCAUCUAAAGCUAAAUACUGGCCGGAGACCGAUAGCGCACAAGUAGAGUGAUCGAAAGGUUAAAAGCACCUUGAAAAGGGAGUUAAACAGCACGUGAAAUUGUUGAAAGGGAAGCGCUUGCGGCCAGACUCGGGGGCGGGGUUCAGCGGGCGCUCGUCGCCCGUGCACUCCCCGCGCCCCGGGCCAGCAUCAGUUUCGACGGCCGGUCAAAGGCCCCCGGAAUGUGUCGUCUCUAGGGACGUCUUAUAGCCGGGGGUGCAAUGCGGCCCGUCGGGACUGAGGAACGCGCUCCGGCUCGGAUGCUGGCGUAAUGGCCGUAAGCGGCCCGUCUUGAAACACGGACCAAGGAGUCUAACAUCCACGCGAGUGUUCGGGUGUCAAACCCGUGCGCGCAGUGAAAGCGAACGGAGGUGGGAGCCUUUGGGCGCACCAUCGACCGAUCCUGAAGUCUUCGGAUGGAUUUGAGUAGGAGCGUGGCCGUUGGGACCCGAAAGAUGGUGAACUAUGCCUGAGUAGGGUGAAGCCAGAGGAAACUCUGGUGGAGGCUCGCAGCGGUUCUGACGUGCAAAUCGAUCGUCAAAUUUGGGCAUAGGGGCGAAAGACUAAUCGAACCAUCUAGUAGCUGGGUUCCUGCCGAG